CCAAACCCAUUUCUCAGAUUAAUCGGACAAAUUGAAUACCCAUUUCUCAUAUAAAUCCAAGGUUCGAUUUUUUUUGAGAAGCAGAGAACUAAUCAUCGAAAACCCAAAACCAAACCCAUUUCUCAAAUUAAUGGCGACAUUGAAAACAUAUUUCUUAGGUGAAUCCAAGCUUUAAUUUCUUUUGAGAAGCAGAGAACCAAGCCCUAAACUAGUACAAUGCAGUUGUCUGCUAAUAGCAUGGAACACCAAAAAUCCUUGAAGCCAGUGCAGUUUUCUGGUAACUCCUUUAUUCUCUCAAGACAUAAAUCCAUAAUCUGUCAUUUAUUAGGUAAUACAAAUUGAAAAUUGAAAACCCAUUUCUUAGGUAAUACGAAUUGUAAAUCGAAAACCCAUCUCUCAAAAAAAUUCUUUUUUGAAGAGCUGUGAAGAAAGCACCAAAG
rnacentral:lncRNA from 1 species